AACAAUGAAACAUUUCUUAUAAAUUAACAUCAAUUCAUUUUCAUCUCAGCACUUGUAUUUUCUUAUUUAGUUAAUGAUAUAACGCAUCUCAUUACAAAAAUAAGAAGAUGUGGAACGAGUGCCAAUGAGACAACUCUCCACAAGAGAGCAAAUGAAGUAGAAAUUAACAACUAUAGGUCACCGUACGGCCUUCAGUGGGCUAAAUCAUACCACAUAGUAAGCUAUAAAAGGCCCCGAAAUGACAAAUGUAAAAUAGUUCAAACGGGAAAACUAACAACUAUACAUGUAGGUCACCGUACGGCCUUCAAUGAGCUAAAUCAUACCACAUAGUAAGCUAUAAAAGGCCCCGAAAUGACAAAUGUAAAAUAGUUCAAACGGGAAAACUAACAACUAUAGGUCACCGUACGGCCUUCAGUGAGCUAAAUCAUACCACAUAGUAAGCUAUAAAAGGCCCCGAAAUGACAAAUGUAAAAUAGUUCAAACGGGAAAACUAACAACUAUAGGUCACCGUACGGCCUUCAAUGAGCUAAAUCAUACCACAUAGUGGGCUGUAAAAGGCCCCGAAAUGACAAAUGUAAAAUAGUUCAAACGGGAAAACUAACAACUAUAGGUCACCGUACGGCCUUCAAUGAGCUAAAUCAUACCACAUAGUAAGCUAUAAAAGGCUCCGAAAUGACAAAUGUAAAAUAGUUCAAACGGGAAAACUAACAACUAUAGGUCACCGUACGGCCUUCAAUGAGCUAAAUCAUACCACAUAAGUAAGCUAUAAAAGGCCCCGAAAUAACAAAUGUAAAAUAGUUCAAACGGGAAAACUAACAACUAUAGGUCACCGUACGGCCUUCAAUGAGCUAAAUCAUACCACAUAGUAAGCUAUAAAAGGCUCCGAAAUGACAAAUGUAAAAUAGUUCAAACGGGAAAACUAACA